rnacentral:lncRNA from 1 species
CCGCACCCCCUACUCCACCCUAUAUCUCCUUCCCCCUCCCCCCCGCCUCUUCCCAGCAAAAGGGGUUCGGGGUUGGGCGGUUGCUGCUGCUGCUGCUGCUGCAGCUGCUUCCUUCCCUUUCAGCGCUGUCGGGCCCUGGAGAAGUCCUCCCGGCGCCUCAUGAUCUAACUUACCAAACCCAAAUGCCAUCGAAGGGGGAUGGAGACAGCGACAGCAGCAGCAGCAGCAGAACAGCAGCAGCAACAGCAGAACAGCAGCAGCAACAGCUACGGCAACAGCAGUAGCACCAGGGAGACGCUCGCAGGAGAGAACACGAGGGAAAGAGAAUUCCAGGCUACACCCAGUCCCCUCCCCUUCCCUCUCCACUCCCCCUCCCCACAGCCCCGCCCCUCUCCACGCCAGCCCCUGGCAAAGGGAGGCAGUAAUAAAUAAAUAAAUAAAGGGAUCUUGUUUUCAAAACAAAAAAGUAGGAGUUGGAUUUGGAGACCUCUGGUUUCCUUGAGAGCCGCGGAAGGCGAAGGGGGGAAAAAGAAGAGGAGAAUGAGAGAGCAAGCUUUACCCCUCCACUUCCCCUCAGGUAGCAGCAAGGAAUACACGUUUGCAGAAAGGACUGGGGGGUGGGGGGUGGGGAGAAGAACCCCAAAUGCAAAACAACCUUUCUACCAAAAAAAAAAAAAGGCAGUUCAACGAAGGCUAAGAAGGUUUGGAGGAAAGAGAAACUCCAGGAUCGGUCUGCCUGUUGUACGUCCAAGGGAGAGCUGGAAGUGCCUGUGUGUGAAGCGUGAGAUACCCUCGCGUACACUCUCAGAGCCUAAGGAAGGGCUAGGGGAGAGGAAAAGGGAAGAUCCUGCCGGCCUCUCCCUCUCCUCGGGGGUCUCCCGCAAUGCAGAAAUCCCAGAGAAGACGCAAGACGGGUGCGAAUCGCCCCCAGCAGGUCCUCACGCCUCAGACCCGAUCGGCAGCGGAGGCGGCGGCGGCAGUAGCUGAAGGAGCAACAACAGCACACAGCUACUUUAGGAAACCACCCACCUUCAAGCAGCUGAGGAGCUAAAAAGAGAUUGGAGAUCCCCUGCAUUACACAGAAGCAGAUUGAAAGGGCAAAAUGGAAAAGAAGGGGAAAAUCAGAAAAGGAGCUUUUGUGUUGUGUUGUGUAUGUGUGUGUGUGUGUGUGUGUGUAGGUGUAUAUGUAUGUAUAUAUAUGUAUAUCUGCAUAUCUGCAUGAGAGGUUGUAAGUGCUUCUUAUUUGGGUAAAUGGUUGAGGGCUUUUGUAUGGACAAGAGAAGAAAGUGUGAAGGCAUAUAAAUGACUGUAGUUUUGCCAUAGCUUUUCAAAAUUUGAAUUACUAUUACACUAAAGUCUUUUGACUUUAAAAUCUGCCCCCUCUCAUCCUCACAAUCAAAUUUCUGGUUCUUUUAAGUCCUGGUUGUGAAAUUGUAUUCUUAGACCCACCAUUACAACACAGGAAGGUCAAUAUUCAACCAAAUGGUGGCCCCAAUAUUAGCAAAGGCUCUUCUGGAAGGAAAGGCCCUUCACUUAUAAAGAGGCAUUUACUUAUCUCACUCCCUUUACUAUCCUUACUGUAGAUCUGCUAAGGCAAUGGCUUCCAACAUUUAUGGAGCAAUUUUCUUCUUUUGUAAAAAUAAGAGUGAUUUUUAUCUCUAUCUAUAUAUAAUCCCUAUUAUAAUAAAUCUCUACAAAUAAUAUUUUAGCCUGUAUUU